UUUCUGACCAACGAAGAGGCUCCAAAGUGCAUUUUUCUGACCAAUGAGCAUGCCAGGAUUCUGCUCAAUCGACCAAUCGGAGGCUAGAAUUCUUCGCACAGGUGGUUGGAAGUUAUAAAGCCGGCGUGCGGGGACGGCUGAGUUCAAUCAGUCGAUUUUCAACUGCUUCUACAGCGCGAGGCUCUUCUAUCGACACGGCGGUCUGCAAGCCGAAAUGUGGGGGAAAUGGCGGUUAAAAACGUCCAGGGCAUCACCACACCGACAAGAAUUUACCUGAAUUUCGGCGGGCUCAAACAUAACGUUAUAUUCCGGCGAGGAGACCCGCAAUGUAAAGGGAAUGGAGGUGCUAAACCUCCACAGCCCAGGGCAACACUUUGAGGGCUCAAACCUAACGUUGAUUUUACGACGAGGAGACCCGCAGUAUAAAGGAUGCAAGAAGCAGGGAAGGAGACAUCUCUCAGCAUCUUCCAGGACCUUAUUGUUGCCUUCAACUACACCUCUCUUAAAAGGCUUUAAGGGAUGAAAAAAAGGUUAGUGAUUUGUGAUGUGCAUUAAGUAGCUUUUGGCACCAAACUUAGAAUUCCCUCUGUGUAUCUGAGACAUUUUUGACAGUGAUAAUCAAGUUUCUUGGUUGUUGGCAAGGUGCUUGAGUUUGCUUUGGUGACAUCCCGAGUGACUUGCUGGUUGGGGUUGCGGCAUUUUGAGGGUUUUGGCUCCUUUUGCUCGCAUGGCUUUAGUCUGUUUCUGUGGGAUACAGGUCCGAUGUAUGGUUGAUUUGGUUUCUGUGACCAUGUCGGUGGCUGGGAUUGUGUUUGGAGUUGCUGCAAAGUUCAGUCCUCUAGAAAAUGGAGACUUCCCUACGUUCUGUCAGCCCAUGAUUAUUUAGGUAUCUUGUACUGCCUGACUUUCUUUCUGCAUUAUGUGAUUGUCAGUGGGUCGGGAACCCUGACCAUUACAUAAGCUGCCUUGUGAAUGAAAUAAUGGGGCGGUGGUGGGGGGGUGGAUCAUCAGGUUCUGGGGUAUCCGUUAGUCUUGAGAUCCCGAACAAAGACUACGGCACAGGGCCAGAAGGGAGGACAGGUAGAUGAAGUGCGUAAGUGAUCAUGAGCUAACAGAACUGGGGAAGUCACUGUUUUCUGGAGGACUAAACUUUGUAGUUACCUCUGAGCGCAAUUCCGGUUGUCAGCGUGGGUACAGAAGCUGAUCAGGCCAAGCCUUGAACCUGGUUGCCACAGGAACGGGUUGAAGCACUGUGUGCAGAAGUAACCAUUGCUCUCAAAGUGUCCUAAUCCCUUGCCAGUGCCGUCACAAGGGCUGUUACCAACAUUCUCGAUGCCUUGCUGACAACCAAGUGAUUGUGAUUCUCCCUGCUGGUGAUGCCUCGGGUAGACAGAGGGGAUUGUUAUCUAAGCUUGGGCUGGAGUUGCAUCACAGAUCAGUAACGUCCUGCCACCGCCCAACCAGCAGCAUUUCUCUGGAUGAAAAAGGUCAAGUCUGUAAAUGAAGUUCUUGUUAAAGCUCUUUCUCUUCAAAGAAUGCAAUGUAUCAUUUUACCAUCAUGUAUGAUAGACAAGUGUUGCUCAGGUUGUAUGUUCAUGCUAUAUGUUCAUGUUGCUCAGGUUGUAUGUUCAUUUUAUAUGUUCAUGUCAAGUCAUGCCAUCUUCCUGGGUGAAGCUAAAUUUGUCAUGGAGCUAGGGCCAUGUAGUUUUAUAGAAAUAUUAUAGUUGCCUGCUAUUUAGCUGCAUUCCUCGUACUUACCAGCUGUGAGAUGUCAAAGGCAUGUUUUUUUUCUAAUUCUUGCAUAAUGCAGUCACAAAUUGAAAUGUCCCUUGAAUACUAGUAGCCAAGAUUUCAUAACUUGUAAAUGUUCUUUUUUAGGAUUAUGUUGUAGUUGUCUAGUUUCAAGAUAAGCUAUUAAGAUAAGUGCAUUUUAUGCCAAAAAAGUUACUCAAGCAACUGGAUAUGAUUUUGGAAACGGUCAGAUGUUUCAGGUAGCAUCCACUUGAACUACUUUUGUCAAUGACACUAAAGACAGACUGCAAGAGAAAGACAGAUUUAUCAUAUCCAGUUGCUUGUGUAUAAACUGUUUUUUGGGAUAUCUUAUUACCCUAAUGUCUAACCUUCAUCAACGUAAGCGCAGUUUAGUUUAAGAAUAGUUGUAGUCUAGUUGUAGUCUGAAGAAUAGUUGUAGCCCAGUGUUAAGGUUAGUUGUAGUCUAGUCUUAAGGUUACUUGUAGCCUGGUGUUAAGGUUAGUUGUAGUCUAGUCGUAAGGUCAGAUGUCAUCUAGUCUUAAGGUUAGUUGCAAUCUAGUCUUAAGGUUAGUUGUAGUUGUAGUCUAGUGUUAAGGUCAGUUGUAGUCUAAAGUGAAAGUCUUUUGUUCCCACUCAGCCUUUAUUUUCUGUGUAUUUUGCCUCUAUUCUAGUACAAGUAGUGGCCACCUUGUCCUAGAAUGGAUCCAAAAUAUAUGAAUACAUUGGCUUUGAGAGCAAAGGUCUUUACAUAAAGUAGGGCUGUAGGGAGGUUAUAACCAGGUUAGGUUUAAGGUCUAGGGCAUUGUAGUGAGUUUUUGAAACUUAGCUUUCAAAAUGUCAGACUCAACCUGAGCAACACACUGUAUGCUUAAUAAACAGUCAUGUGGUA